rnacentral:rRNA from 1 species
UGGGGAAUAUUGCACAAUGGGGGAAACCCUGAUGCAGCGACGCCGCGUGGAGGAAGAAGGUCUUCGGAUUGUAAACUCCUGUUGUUGGGGAAAAGAAGGAUGGUACCCAACAAGGAAGUGACGGCUAACUACGUGCCAGCAGCCGCGGUAAAACGUAGGUCACGAGCGUUGUCCGGAAUUACUGGGUGUAAAGGGAGCGCAGGCGGGUAUGCAAGUUGGGAGUGAAAUGCAUGGGCUCAACCCAUGAACUGCUCUCAAAACUGUGUAUCUUGAGUAGUGCAGAGGUAGGCGGAAUUCCCGGUGUAGCGGUGGAAUGCGUAGAUAUCGGGAGGAACACCAGUGGCGAAGGCGGCCUGCUGGGCACCAACUGACGCUGAGGCUCGAAAGUGUGGGUAGCAAACAGG